UACGAAGGGGGCUAGCGUUGCUCGGAAUUACUGGGCGUAAAGGGAGCGUAGGCGGAUAGUUUAGUCAGAGGUGAAAGCCCAGGGCUCAACCUUGGAAUUGCCUUUGAUACUGGCUAUCUUGAGUAUGGGAGAGGUGUGUGGAACUCCGAGUGUAGAGGUGAAAUUCGUAGAUAUUCGGAAGAACACCAGUGGCGAAGGCGACACACUGGCCCAUUACGUGACGCUGACGG
rnacentral:rRNA from 1 species